AAUAUACUUUGGCCCAUAUGUUUAUUCAUGGGCUACAAGUUGCGUGCUAACUCACCAAUUAAACGUAUUUGCUUAAGUCCAACCCAUACCAUGACAUCUCAAUCUCAACCCACCAAUGAAACCUUUUGAAGUGUCGUUAACAUAUCUCUAAUUAUACUAUACUUUUAAGGUCCAUGUGUCUAAAAUUUUUAGUUCAACCCAGUCCGCGUGCAUGCCAUCUCAUGCUAUGUCCCUUAUCAACGUGUUCAUUUUCGUGCUAUACCCUGAUGUAUAGACCCGUGCCAUGACACAUGCCACCCGGCCCAUUGACCAUCUCUAGUUGUUGACUUAUAUGUAUUUUUGGUUAUUGUCUUAACACCAGGGAUAAAAUGAAAUUUUAAAAAUUUUAUUAGGGACCUAAUUUAUAAUAAUAAUAAUAAUAGUGUAAUUUUUAGAUUUUACCUAUUACCCCAUUAUCCUAUUAUCCACUAAUGUCAAAAUUCGAUUAUUCUGUAAAUGAGAUGCGUUUUUUCAGUAACAUUUUUUACAUGAGAGGUAAGGGGUUAUGGAAAACAGAGUUGGAGAAAACUGCAAAAGUUGAAAUCUGAAAAUAAAAAAAUGUCGUUCUCCCUAAAACUAAUAGGAUCAUAGCAUAAAGUUUAGCAAAUUAAUCUAAAAAAUCAUAUUGUUAUAAUCAAAUCUUUUCUCAUUCCUCUUUGAGACUUGUUUUUGUACUGACAAAUUUUGUUAUUUUCACUAUAAUUUUUUUUUAUUUUCACAAAACUUAAAUUAGUUUAAGAAUAAAGAAUUAUAACAAUUCUGAUCAGUGUUCUCUGGACUAGUUUGAAGAUGCAAUUCUGCACACUUUUGUUCUUGACCUUAACCAUUUAAUACGCUUUUACACAUUUAACUAGCUCUGGCGAUUUUUAAAUUAGCUAGAAUUACCUUACUGGAAGUGCUUGUUGAUCGCUUCUUUUAACAAAAAAUUAUGUCUACAUAAAAUUUCCCCUUAGCUUUAUCAAAAUGAUGAACCAACAAGAAAUGAUGUUUUGUGAUGGCAUUGGAAUACUUGGGCCCAUUUUCCGUACAAAAGCCAGUCGCUAACCGAUGUUGGGCUUCUCUUGACCAGUUUGAGAUCAAAGAGUUUGUGUUUGUCAGUUUUGAGUCCCAACCAUUAGCAGAAUGUACAUUCAAUUUGGGUAUCUCUGUUAUUGACAAUUGUUUCUACAUAGAGGUGGACUUGACUUCUUCCACACAGAUUUAAUCUAAUUGGUAACUACUUCAUUUUGAAUGGUACGCUUUUAUUCUUCCCCAAUCCGUAGAUAGAUGACGAUCAUCGUAAUAUAUAAUACAUUUAGGUAGCGUUUACUUUUUGGAUUGGAUUGGGAAUCCUAGGAGUGGGAAUCCUAUGAUUGGGAGUGUGGAGUGGGAGUGGGAGUAGGUUGUUUACUUACACUGGAAUGGAAGCAUGGAAUAGAGAUCAGAAUCCAAUUUAUGUGUUUACUUUGUCUUGGAUUGGGAGUAAAUAGUUUCAAAUUACAAUUUUAUCCUUAUUUAAAGAAUUAUAGUUUUUAAUUACAAAACUAAUAAAAAAUAUAUUUAAUGAAUAAUAUUUAUUUUAUUAUAUUUUUAAAUUUAUUAUAAUUAUUAAUAUUCUUAAUUAUGAACAAUAAAUUAUUAAUUUUAAUACAAAAUGAAACCUUAUUUUAUUUUAUUUAAUAUAAUUAUAUUAAAUUUAUUAUUAUAUAAAAUAAUAAUAUAAUAUUAUUUAGUACAAAAUUAAUAUUUUCUUAGAAUAAACUAUUUAUUAUUAUUAAUAUUAAAUAAAUAUAGUACUAUUAUUUUUAAAAUAAAUAUAAUAAUAUUAUAUUUAUUAAUUCUCUAUUAAUAUAAUAAUAUUAUUUUAAAAUAAUUUUAACUUAGAAUCAAUGCAAAUUAUUAUUUAGUUAAAUAUAAUAUUAUUAUUCAAAUAAAUAUAAUAAUAUUUAUUUUAUUUUAUUAAUUAUAAAAUAUUAAAUUAAAUUAAAAAAAUAAAAGGAUAAAAAAGAGAUUUUCCACUCCCACUCCCCACUCCAAAAAUAGGUAGAACCCACGGAGUGAGAUUCCCACUCUCUUCUUAUUUAGAGGAAGUAAACGUUGGAGUGGGAGGAAUCCACGCUCCUCACUUCCACUCCAUCAAGUAAACACAGCAUUAGUUACUAUAAGUAUUGUUUUAUUACUGUCAAAUCCAGUUUAAAGCAUUAUUCAAGUUGUUGGUGAUGGAAGCACAUAUUGCUUCGCUGCAUUCAAACAUUCAUUUACAGGUAGCAAAAUGGAUUACAAUACAAUUACAUGCUAUAAAUAUGCAUGAUUUUUUUUUUUUAUAUUCGUAUUGAUAAAUAUUGACACAAUUAAUAAAUGGAUUAACACGGCACACCACAAAAAAUAACCGUAUCGUAUUUAUAUUACACAAUCUCAAUAUGAUUAUAUGUUUAUAAUACGUGUAUCAAUUAAUAUGUAAUAAUAUUAUUGAAAAUACUAACUAAUCUAUAUACCGAACACUUAAUUAAUCAAUCGUGCACGUCUAUAUUGUGUUAUAACUUAUCCAUGUUAUAUUUAUAUUAUGUUAACUUAUUUAUGAUCUAUUUUAAAGAAUAAUAUUGACAUAUUUAUUAUUUUUUAAAA
rnacentral:lncRNA from 1 species